UAUCUCUGUAGAGUCUGCAUAUCAAUAAGCGGAGGAAAAGAAACUAACUAGGAUUCCCUUAGUAACGGCGAGUGAAGCGGGAAGAGCUCAAAUUUGAAAUCUUCAAGGUUUUACCUUGACGAAUUGUAGUUUAAAGAAGUGUUUUCUGUUGGUGUUUUGGUAAAAGUUCUUUGGAAUAGGACAUCAUAGAGGGUGAGAAUCCCGUAUUUGACCAUUACUUCCAGCGUUGUGAUACACUUUCAAAGAGUCGGAAAUUGUUUGGGAAUGCAGUCCAAAAUGGGUGGUAAAUUUCAUCUAAAGCUAAAUAUUGGCGAGAGACCGAUAGCGAACAAGUACCGUGAGGGAAAGAUGAAAAGAACUUUGAAAAGAGAGUUAAACAGUACGUGAAAUUGUCAAAAGGGAAGCGUUUGACACCAGUGUUGUUUUCCUCGAAAAUCAAUUAAAAAAAGUUGGAUUUUGUAUUGUUAAGACCUUAUCAGCUUACUGUACUCUUUUCUUGCUUUUUUUAAUGCACUUUUCGUUUAACAAGUCAACAUCAAUUUCUUUUGUUGUAAAAGAGUCAUUGGAAGGUGGCUUUCACUUCGGUGAAAGUGUUUAUAGCCUUUGGCUUCUGCAAUCGGAGAGAUUGAGGUCUGCAGCGUAGAUCCUUCGGGGCUAGAUACGUAGAUGCUAAGUUAUAGUUUUUUAUAGACAACUUGUUGACUAUAAUUAAUCAUGUAGCUUACUCGUUUGCGCUAUUUUACCUACGCUUAGGAUGUUGACGAUCAGCUGAGCGCG
rnacentral:rRNA from 1 species